rnacentral:lncRNA from 1 species
CAAUCUUAAUUUGUCCUUGUUCAUAUGUAUCCUCUUUUCAACAGACGUUUAACGGUGUGAGCUUUUCAGCAUUCCUGGUGAAUUACACAUUCUGGGAAUUAAUCAAAGCUAUUUAGUGAAUGAAGUUAUUGCGUGGAGGAUCUGCCUGUCCUUACCUGUGACAGAGGGAUGGUACAUAUAUACAGGAGGAGAAUGGAUUUCAGGAAGGGCAUGAGCGUCUCGGAGUAAAAAUAAUUAAAUUCUGCCGAGAUCAGCUGCUGUCCAGGGACACCACCCAGGUCUAAUUCAGAGAAAAAAUAGUCAGACUGAAGCACAGCAAAAGGUGAAGAAGUUGCGAUGAGGAACUUGGUGGUACAUGAACUCUGCAAACCAGCUGGACACGACAAACAGCCUUGGUCUGAGGGCACGUGUGGGGUACAGGAGAAGCAGUGCCCAGAGUGAAUCAAAGAACCUUGCCCUAAACUCACUGAGCUGGCUGGGGUAUUACAGUAUGGAUUUUACAUAUGGAAUUGGUGAGGAAAACAAGAGGGAUCAUCUUUGUCUGAAAUUUAUGAAGGGUCCCUGGCUGUGAGACUUUCUAAAAAGUAAGUAUUUCUUGAUUGCAUCAUGGUGCACCGAGUGUAUCUUUGCUCCCAUAUCCCCUCUACUUUUUUUUUAUAUG